AGCCCUGGUCUUGUACACCAGAUGUCGGAGGUUAAAAUCCUCCCUACUGCU
rnacentral:tRNA from 1 species